UACGUAGGGUGCGAGCGUUGUCCGGAAUUAUUGGGCGUAAAGGGCUCGUAGGCGGUUUGUCGCGUCGGGAGUGAAAACGCCGUGCUUAACACGGCGCUUGCUUUCGAUACGGGCAGACUAGAGGUAUUCAGGGGAGAACGGAAUUCCUGGUGUAGCGGUGAAAUGCGCAGAUAUCAGGAGGAACACCGGUGGCGAAGGCGGUUCUCUGGGACGGUACUGACGCUGAGACGCGAAAGCGUGGGGAGCGAACAGG
rnacentral:rRNA from 1 species